GGAAGGCCUUAGGGUUGCAAACCUCUUUUCUCUAGGAAGAAAGAAGAUCUGACGGUACCAGAGGAAUAAGCCUCGGCUAACUCCGUGCCAGCAGCCGCGGUAAGACGGGAGGAGGCAAGCGUUAUCCGGAAUUAUUGGGCGUAAAGCGUCCGCAGGCGGSCCUUUUAAGUCUGUUGUCAAAGCCCGGAGCUCAACUCCGGAUCGGCAAUGGAAACUGGUGAAGCUAGAGUGUGGUAGGGGCAGAGGGAAUUCCCGGUGUAGCGGUGAAAU
rnacentral:rRNA from 1 species